ACCCACAACCACACUCUGCCUUACUGGGGUCCUAAACACAGAGAACCUCAUCAUGGACUGGAGCUGGAGAGCUCUCUUCCUGGUGGCAGUGGCAACAGGUGUCCACUCCCAGGUGCAGCUGGUGCAGUCUGGGGCUGAAGUGAAGAAACCUGGCUCCUCAGUGAAGGUCUCCUGCAAGGCUUCUGGAUACACCUUCACCAACUACUUUAUGCACUGGGUGCGACAAGCCCCAGGACAAAGCCUUGAGUGGAUAGGGAUGCUUUAUGCUGGUAAUGAUAAUACAUACUACGCACAGAAGUUCCAGGGCAGAGCCACCAUUACUGCAGACAAAUCCACAAACACAGCCUACUUGGAGCUGAGAAGCCUGAGAACCGAGGACACGGCCGUGUAUUACUGUGCAAGAGACACAGUGACAGGAAGUCAGUGUGAGCCCUGA